UGUAACUAUUUUACUUUUGACUUUGUUAUUUUGUGGAUUUUAUAAAGUUGUAUUUUUAACAUAAAAGCCCAAAUUCAUUUAACAGAAUACUUUCUCAACUUUUCAAAGGAAAAAGAAGGGAAAAAUCGUGUUAAGAGUCCAAUUGUAGAUCAGAUUGGAUGAUUUAAAUAAACAAGUCGAAGGUGAUAACAAGCAUGUUCGUUCAUUUUUAUAAAAAUGUUCAUAUAUUGUACUCUUAUGUUCAUUAAAAAAAACUGCUCGUAUUCAUAUUUUUACCCUUCAUGUUCAUAAUUUUACUUGGAGCUAUUACUCAGAAAUAAAUUAAAAAAAAACAGCUAGUAUUCAUAUUUUUACACUUCAUGUUCAUAAUUUUACUUGGAUCUAUUACUCAGAAAUCAAUUUAAGAAACUACUAUUAUUCAUAGUUUUACCCUUUAUGUUCAUAAUUUACAAAAUCGUUAAUUACUUCGUUUUUUUUUUUUCGUUUUUUUUUUCAAUUUUUAUAGAGAUGGUUCUGACGAAGUACUAAGCAAGAUAAAGAGAAACCUUCCGGGUAAAUAAUAUAAAACUUAAUGUUCGUUAUAAUUUUACGUAAGUUCAUAGUUUACUACCUAGUAUUCAUUUUUUCACAGAGAUAAUACUGAAGAAAAUCCUACACAAACCCUUAAAGUUAUAGAAUAACCUACUGGUAAAAUUCAUUAUUUAUGUACUACUGGGUACAUAAAAGGGGUGGUGCUUCUGGUCAAAUUUAUGAGAAAGCUGUAGAGCCUCCUACAAAGACAACUACUGGAGACGCUUUUGGUCAAAUUUCUAAUCAGAAAGCAGUAAACAAUCUAUUGAGACAACUACUGGGGAUGCUUCUGAUCAAAUUUCUAAGAAAGUUGUAGAGCCUUUUACGGAGACAACUACUGGAAGCAAUUGGGACCAUAAGAAUUGUGGUGUUUACUUGAUUAAGCACAUGGACACAUACAUAGCAGACCCUGUGCAAGAGUGGACUUGUGAUAUGAAGGCUAAUGAUUUGAUCAAAUAAGGAAGCUAAGAGUAAGAUAUUGUGCUGAAUUUAUACUUAGUGCAUCCAACAAGGAAGGGUACAGAGUGAGAAUGGCUGCUAAGAGAAAGCAAGAAGAGACAAACUAAGUUGAAUUUUGGAUUGAGAACUAAGACAACCGUGGUUUUAAUUUUAUUAAGAAACUGGGAUUCUGAACUGAUAUAAGUGUGCUUUUCAUUUUAUUUUAUUUUUAUAAGUGUGGUUGUCAUGAUUUACAUGAAUUUGGAACAAGUGUAAUUUUUUUUUUUUUUAUUAUGAACAUGUGAUUUUCAUAAUUCAGAAUUUGUUCAUCUUUCUUGUCUAUUAUGUUCAUAUGUUAUUAAAUAAAGUUCAUAAUCGUAAAAACAUACAUAUAAAAAUGUGAAUGAUUAUAAAAUGAAGUUCAAAGUAUUGUUGUAUACAUUUUUAAAUGUAAAUGAAUUUUAAAAUAAAUUAUCAAAAACAAUUAUAGAAAAAAUCUAAACAUCAAUUGUUUUGUCAAACAAUUUUAACAUAUAAUUGUAUUGUGAAACAGUCCACAUACCCUUAUCAUCAAUAACAAACUCAACAAAACCUUUACAAUCUGUACGACCACUCAAUUUCUCAAAUCUCCUAACAUCCCUCUUAGAAUGAUCUUUCAAACGAGCAUUUGUACAUAGAUAUUUCCUACUCCGCCGAACAAUAGUUUGACCAACUCUUCUUAAUUUCGACUUAUUCCUUAUACUAAAACCAAACUUAAAAGCAUAAUCAUUGUACAAAUCAUAUGCUUUAUCAUCACAUGUAACUUGUUUCAUGAAUAACUCAGACUGUUUGGCUUUAACAAAAAAAAUGACUGAAAAAUAAUAAAGAAAACGACAAAUGUUAACAAUGUUCAUAAUUAUAAAACUAUAUGUUCAUAAUAAAUGUCAGGAUGUUUAUAAUACAUAAUCAACUGCAUAUUACUAAUUGAAAUAUAAAAAAUAACAACGAAUAUUAAAAACAUUCAUUAUUAUAACAAAUAUGUUCAUAAUAAACAUGAAGAAUGUACAUAAUAUACAAAGUCUUCAAACAUUCAGCAUUAAUUGUUCACAUAAUUAAACUGUUGAAUUGAUUUAUUAAAAAAAAAAAGAAAAAAAAACCGUAAUAUCGAGUUCACAUUAUAAAUUACAAGUAAAAUUAGA